ACAACACAAAAAAAUUACGGCCUUAUGAUCAGACCCACAAAUUUGAAUCUAACCGUUCAGAUGAUCACUAAUCCACGUCAAAAGUACGUUUAGCAGUUUGAUGGAGCGGACGAAAACUCUGUCACCCGCCUCCGCACUUAUCCCGCAACAAUCACAAUCGAUUCCAGAAAAAGACCUACAAUUGCAACCCCAAUAUCCUCCCGGGAGCUCUCCCCGUCGACCGCACAACGCCCUCAUCGGCACGCUCUUCGCCGGAGCGGCCCAGAGCGGCGUGCGCUGGAAGCUGGAUCCGGGAAGGAGUGCGGCCACAAGCGGGAGACAAGGGGAGGCGCGGUUGUGCUCUCUCUGGUCGCCGGCGCGGCCACCAGAGGGGAGACGGCCAGGGGAAGCGGCGGCCUACGACUCUGUAGGGGAUGCAGCGUCUGGCGGGAGGGCGCGCGCAGUAGGGAAGGCAGCGGUCGGAUCCAGGCGCGGGUGAGGCCUGAAUGCCACACGGGGCCCAUGGCGGCCAGAUCCGGGCCACGCAUGGGAGUCGGUGGUGUCCCGCCGAUGCGUAAAGGAAGCACGGGGCGGCGCGUCAGUAUGUCGUCGUGCACAGCACCGUGCGGGGUGAGCGAUGGGAUGCAAACGACAUUGUAGGCACCGAUGCCGCACAUGCUUGAUUUGCUGCUGCCGCCGCCUCCGCUUGAGGUCUACGGACGCUGUCGACGAGUUAUGAGGCGGAACCAUCGAGCACCGAGCUGGAAACGACACCAUCGAGGAUGACAGACCGCCACCGAGGCUGAUUGUUGUGGACGCGCCUGCCCACUACAAGUCUCCUAUCGCUGUUGUGUUCCGAGCAGCCAGAGAACUACAGGUGCACGACUCCUGCAACCUGGUAUUUGAGAUGCAUUUCCCAAUCGUCCUGAUUAUGGACUUCUGCUCACGUUUGGAGCGAUCUGAAUUAAAACAAGAAUUCUGUGGAGUCUGCUUGAAUCAAUUGUUCAUCUCUACAUUAACGAAUAGUGAGAUUACCAGAGCAUCCUGGGCCUCCGACUUCUUGAUAUGAUCACUGGAUUGUUCUUUAAUAUUUAACAACCAAGACUGUUCUUUCCUGCAAAAAAUAUAUUUUCUGUCAUGAACUACUAAUGUCACUAUGAUGUCUCAAAGAGCUUUCUUAUAAGUUUGUGGUUAUGCACAUAUACAUGAUCUGGUAAAGGGGGAGACAAUGCAAGUGGCAGAGAUAGAAAGGUAGAGGUGGAAGAAGAGGGUGUGGUAGAGGAAGAGAAAGUCAUGCCAAACAGAAGUGGCAGGGGUUGAGGAAGGUCAGGUACAAGCUGAAGAUUAGGAGGAAGAUUUACAACCCAGUGUUGAAGGAUGUGUCACAUUUUGUUUGGCCGUAGCUACAAUCCAAAAGGGAGAAAUGCAGAAGAAUUUGUUCAUACUUGAAACAUGUGUGAUCGAGGAGAGAGCAACACCCAGCAGUCUGCACUACACACUUGACAUAUGUACAAAGGAUUUAUGUGGGCACAUGACAUACCCGUACAUAUUGUGAAAGUUUACAAGAGAAGCAUGUUGUUCUAAAUGAAUAGUCGCAAAUACGGACCUGGCCAUGGAAAGAUGAACACUAAUUGGCCACAAAUGAGCUACAUUGUUCAGGUUAUGAGUAGUUCUACCUUUAUUAGGCUUGCACAUCUGGUUUGUCCGUCAGUUAGUUCUCUGACUGGUUUUCAUGGUGCACAAACUUGUACUUACAACUUAGAUGAAUUAUGUCAUUUGACCGGCUUAUGUGGAUUCCACUUAUUUCUAUGCACACUUGCAUAUCAAAUUUAUUUUAUUUCCGGUGCCUAUUGUAAUGUCCGUUUCAUAGGAACCAAAUAGAAGGAAAUAGGAUUGGUAUUUUUCUGAUUGGAAAUAGUAUACCUUAUAUUUAGUUAAUUUUGGAUACAAUUAUGAAAAAUCUUAGAUAGAUCGUGCUAUGAAAUUGUUUCUGUGAUACAGUAUGAACAGUGAUGUGUGGCAGACAAACAUCUAUGGUACAGUGGUUGCCGGCGCUAGCUAAGGGGUGUGGCCAUGGUGCAUCAAUUUCUAUAAAAGGUCUAUAUGAUGAUAGAAUUAGGAACCAUAUGCUCUUCGUAUGAGUUAUCAAAUUUUUUAGAAGGUUUAUAUGAUGAUAGAAUUUUUAUAUUUCAUAAUAAAAUGUAUUUUAGUUGAAACGUGCGUUGCACGUGCAUACUUACUAGUGUUCUAAAAAAAAAGAAAGAGGAGGUGGUCAGGCUCCAUCGGGCGGUAUAACUUGCUCCACCUGUGCACCCACAACCGCGCCGAGCUGGGCGGCAGGCUGGCGACGGCGGUCGGGCUGGGGGGCUGGUGGAGCACGGUGCAUUACGCCGGCACCAUCGACAUCUCGGCAACAGAUCUCAGGGAGCUGCUGCUGAAGACGCUGCCAAGAAUAGACGCCAGGAACUCGAGGGGCACCCGCGCACUGGAAAGCAGGGGACUGGACAAGGACCAUGCCGGAUGGUGCCACUGGAGCGCCACCAUUGACUUGGACCAGAGCAUCCUUGUUUGGCACAUGGCGACCGACAUCUACCUCCAUAAGUCCAAGGCUCUUACAACAUGUUUACCCCAAACUCGGGGACCACGCUUGCCGAGGCGGUGAAGGUGAUAUCCAAUUACAUGGUGUUCCUGCUUGUCACCAAACCCGCUAUGCUGCCGGGCCUUGUUCCCGUGGCAUGUAUGUCCAGGCCUGCAAGGAGCUGUCCCUUGCGUGGUACAUCUUCUUGGCUGAUCAAAGCAGUCCAGAGAUCGCAUCGCCGAAGAAAUGGCGGCACAAGCUCAAGGGGUUGCUCCACCACGAUGGCCCCAAUGGCUCCAGGAUCCUAGAGAGAGGGCAGCUUGCUGGGUCUAUGCACAGCACUUACCUAAGCGAUUACGGGGGAGAGUGGAGGUACUCACCAACUGGAAGCGAAAGCCCGGGUACAUGUGCUUAUCGACGCGCUGAUGAACACGCGUGCGAACUUGCAGCGGAGCUUCUCGGCAUGGAGUCAAGCAUGCUUGGCUUGAUGGAAGUGAUCUUUGAAGUGUGGGUAGAGAUGUUGUGCUAUGCUGCCCUACACUCCAGCCUGGAUUCACAUGCUAGGCAGCUGAGUAGCGGCGGUGAGUUCAUUACUGUCGUGUGGCUUUUGAUACAUCAUCUAGGGAAACCGGAGUAACACAACGAUGCGAUGUUGCUGUAAUUAUUGUUUUGAAUUAUUAUGAAGGUUACACACAGUCGCAAAUGUUUGGAACCCGAAAUCUUAACAACGGUACAACACUUUGCAA